rnacentral:rRNA from 1 species
CACGUAUUUAGCCGUUCCUUUCUGGUAAGAUACCGUCACACACUGAACAGUUACUCUCAGCGCCGUUCUUCUCUUAUAACAGUGUUUUACGAGCCGAAACCCUUCAUCACACACGCGGCGUUGCUCCAUCAGGCUUGCGCCCAUUGUGGAAGAUUCCCUACUGCUGCCUCCCGUAGGAGUAUGGGCCGUGUCUCAGUCCCAUUGUGGCCGAUCAGUCUCUCAACUCGGCUAUGCAUCAUUGCCUUGGUAAGCCAUUACCUUACCAACUAGCUAAUGCACCGCGGGUCCAUCUCUUAGUGAUAGCAGACCAUCUUUCAAUCAACAACCAUGCGGUUGUUGAUUGUUAUACGGUAUUAGCACUUGUUUCCAAAUGUUAUCCCCUGCUAAGAGGUAGGUUACCCACGUGUUACUCACCCGUUCGCCACUCUUGAAUCAAAAAUCAAAUCAGAGCAAGCUGUCAUCUACAAUUAAGCACAAAGCGUUACGACUUUACG